UACGGAGGGUGCGAGCGUUGUCCGGAAUCACUGGGCGUAAAGGGCGCGUAGGCGGCGAGGAUAGUCAACGGUGAAAGCUUGGGGCUCAACCCCGAGUCGGCCGUCGAUACUUCCUUGCUUGAGCACUGUAGAGGCAGAUGGAAUUCCGGGUGUAGCGGUGGAAUGCGUAGAGAUCCGGAAGAACACCGGUGGCGAAGGCGGCCUGCUGGGCAGUAGCUGACGCUGAGGCGCGACAGCGUGGGGAGCAAACAGG
rnacentral:rRNA from 1 species